AAGAACCGAAAGAAGAAGCUUAUGGUCUUCUUUUCAUCUUGUAUGUCUGUGAAAUACCACUAUGAGUUGCUGAACUACAUUGAUUUGCCCGUCUUGGCCAUUCAUGGAAAGCAAAAGCAAAAUAAGCGUACAACCACAUUCUUCCAGUUCUGCAAUGCAGAUUCGGGAACACUGUUGUGUACAGAUGUGGCAGCAAGAGGACUGGACAUUCCUGAAGUCGACUGGAUUGUUCAGUAUGACCCUCCGGAUGACCCUAAGGUAACUGGCAUCUUUGGAAUAUCUUCAGAAUGACUCUGCAUUAAAAGUUCACUUAUUCUCCCAGUUGCCUGACAGAAACUGCAUUCCACAUUCAAGGUAAAGAUCCCUACUAUACAGUGACUGCAGUAUUUCUCUGGUAUUGAUAAGUAUUUAAGGCUUUUCAGGGCUCAAAGGGGCUGUGCAAGAGGACUGAAAAGGAUCAGUGGGACUUAAGUUAUGAAAAUGAGAUCCUUGGAAUGAUCUCUUAAGAACAGCAGAUGCCUGAAGGAAAUAAAAUGCUUAAGGAAGUAGAUAAGCUUCUGUAGUAUAUGUGGUAGAAUAAGCUUCAUUGCGAAGUAUUUUCAACAAACAAUGGAUUAAAGCCAUUGUGAUGAUGAAGCACA
rnacentral:sRNA from 1 species